UUUAACAACAACAUUUUCAUCAUUCACACAAUUCAAUCAAAUUUCAUGGGUUUAACAACAACAUUUUCAUCAUUCACACAAUUCAAUCAAAUUUCAUGGGUUUAACAUCUACCUUUUCAUCAUUCACACCAUUCAAUCAAAUUUCACGGGUUUAACAUCAACAUUUUCAUCAUUCACACAAUUCAAUCAAAUUCCAUGGGUUUAACAACAACAUUUUCAUCAUUCACACAAUUCAAUCAAAUUUCAUGGGUUUA
rnacentral:lncRNA from 1 species